UUGCUAUGAUGAAAACUAUGUAUUGAUGGCAUUCAUUGAGUGCUUUGUGAUACAUCGACAUUUAUGUCGAACCUGAACGGUUACCUGAGAAA